AUUCCAUGAUGUGGACAUUUCCUCGGUAAUUCUUUAAAUCUUUCCCAAGAAUCAAAUAAAUAAUCUUCUUCUCCUUGCCUAAAAGAUGAGAUUUCAUUUCUCAUUUU